rnacentral:tRNA from 1 species
UUAAUUAAAGCCAAAUAGAGGCAUUUCAUUGUUAAUGAAAAAAUUGAAAUAUUUAAAUUUCUAAUUAAA